CCUACGGGUGGCAGCAGUGGGGAAUAUUGGACAAUGGGGGGAACCCUGAUCCAGCCAUGCCGCGUGUGUGAAGAAGGCCCUCGGGUUGUAAAGCACUUUCAGUGAGGAAGAACGCCUGGUGGUUAAUACCCAUCAGGAAAGACAUCACUCACAGAAGAAGCACCGUCUAACUCCGUGCCAGCAGCCGCGGUAAUACGGAGGGUGCGAGCGUUAAUCGGAAUUACUGGGCGUAAAGCGCGCGUAGGUGGCUUGAUAAGCCGGUUGUGAAAGCCCCGGGCUCAACCUGGGAACGGCAUCCGGAACUGUCAAGCUAGAGUGCAGGAGAGGAAGGUAGAAUUCCCGGUGUAGCGGUGAAAUGCGUAGAGAUCGGGAGGAAUACCAGUGGCGAAGGCGGCCUUCUGGACUGACACUGACACUGAGGUGCGAAAGCGUGGGUAGCAAACAGGAUUAGAUACCCUAGUAGUC
rnacentral:rRNA from 1 species